rnacentral:tRNA from 1 species
UUAAUUUACUUGGGGCGCUUCCCUUACAAGGAAGAAGUCACAGGUUCAAAUCCUGUAGCGCCCA